AUAAGGCAAUAAAAUCUAUGUUCUUUUAUUUUAUUAGGUCAGAUAGGAAUCUAUAUUUUAUAGGACUAGAAAAUCCAUUACAAUUCCAAAAAAUACCUUUCAUCUAGACCAAUUUUUUUAUUUUUUUUCUUGUACCUAGAACGUGACCUUUUGUUUUGUGGUAAAGGAAUCUGUAAACACAAAGGGUCAUAACGCCCAUCACAUAGGCCUUCAGAGAUUUCUGAACCAAUGAGAUGUAAAGCUUUUGCAUCUAUUUUAUGUUCUAUGGAGCAAACAGUAGAGGCACCAUCCGACACAAAUUUAAUUUUUCCUCCUCUAUCCUAUCAUGCUCAUUCACUCUAUGAGCUUCUAGAUCUCACAAAGAAUUUAAAGAAAGCGACAUUGUUUGUUCAUUAUCCCCAAGAAUAACCCCUAGUGAAUUAUUUGUGGCUAACAGACAGGAAUCAUCAAGAGUAUGAAUAGAGCUUGGAAAAUUUUCUUUACCUUUGCCUGAAGAGGAGUCCAAAUUUUUGCGAGCUUUCAAUUUCAUCGCCUUCUCCAAAGAAUCCUGGUCUGAAGUCAUCGUAUUUCUUUUAGUGGUUCUUAUUGGAGACACUGUCCCACCAUUAUGCACUCUCUUUUUAUUGGAAGAGCUAGAGUCAUUCUGAGAAGUCACCAGAUUAGCUUUCCAUUGGCUGCUAUUAACCCACUCUGAAUAAGCACUACCACUGGUUUGUUGUUCGCUUUGACACCUGCUGGUGCAGAUUUCGCACCUACCUCCUUGUUCUGCUGAACUCCAGAACCACCACCCAUUUCCUCUUGCUGGACUGCAAUGCCAUUGUGCUAUCCGGAGUUAGGUAGCUGGCUGCUAUGGUUGCUAGGUGCAUUAUCCUUUAGCUCCUCCUCUUUUUUACCAUCCUCAUUCAUUGGAUCCUCCUUUUUUCCAUUUUCUUUAUCUUCAUUUGUGGUAGAGUCCAUGUCAAUGACCUGAGGCUCACCAUCGGACAUAUCUUUCUCAACACGCAAUUGCAGCUCAUAAACAAAAUCCCCAAUCACUA
rnacentral:lncRNA from 1 species